UACGGAGGGAGCUAGCGUUGUUCGGAAUCACUGGGCGUAAAGCGUACGUAGGCGGUUAUUCAAGUUAGAGGUGAAAGCCUGGAGCUCAACUCCAGAACUGCCUUUAAAACUAGAUAGCUAGAAUCUGGGAGAGGUGAGUGGAAUUCCGAGUGUAGAGGUGAAAUUCGUAGAUAUUCGGAAGAACACCAGUGGCGAAGGCGGCUCACUGGACCAGUAUUGACGCUGAGGUACGAAAGCGUGGGGAGCAAACAGG
rnacentral:rRNA from 2 species